CCUACGGGCGGCAGCAGUGAGGAAUAUUGGUCAAUGGGCGAGAGCCUGAACCAGCCAAGUCGCGUGAGGGAGUACUGCCCUAUGGGUUGUAAACCUCUUUUGUCGGGGAGCAAAAGCCGGACGUGUCCGGCUGUGAGAGUACCCGAAGAAAAAGCAUCGGCUAACUCCGUGCCAGCAGCCGCGGUAAUACGGAGGAUGCGAGCGUUAUCCGGAUUUAUUGGGUUUAAAGGGGGCGCAGGCGGAGUUUUAAGUCAGCGGUAAAAUCGUGGGGCUCAACCCCAUCCAGCCGUUGAAACUGGGGAUCUAGAGUGUGCGAGAGGUAAGCGGAAUGCGUGGUGUAGCGGUGAAAUGCAUAGAUAUCACGCAGAACCCCGAUUGCGAAGGCAGCAUACCGGUGCACAACUGACGCUCAGGCACGAAAGCGUGGGUAUCGAACAGGAUUAGAUACCCCUGUAGUC
rnacentral:rRNA from 1 species